CCUGAGAGUUUGAUCCUGGCUCAGAACGAACGCUGGCGGUACGCUUUACACAUGCAAGUCGAACGAGAAAGUCCGCAAGGACGAUUAAAGUGGCGAACGGGUGCGUAACACGUGGACAACCUGCCCUUAGGUCGGGGAUAACCUUUCGAAAGAAAGACUAAUACCGGAUAACAAUAAUGAUUGAUUCUUUAUUUGAAAGAUGCAAAUCGCCUUGAGGAGGGGUCUGCGGUAUAUUAGCUAGUUGGUGAGAUAAAAGCUCACCAAGGCGACGAUGUAUAGCAGGUCUGAGAGGAUGAUCUGCCACACUGGAACUGAGAUACGGUCCAGACUCCUACGGGAGGCAGCAGUGGGGAAUCUUGCGCAAUGGGCGAAAGCCUGACGCAGCGAUACCGCGUGGGUGAAGAAGGCCCUUGGGUCGUAAAACCCUUUUGUAAAGGAAGAUAAUGACGGUACUUUACGAAUAAGCACCGGCUAACUCCGUGCCAGCAGCCGCGGUAAUACGGAGGGUGCGAGCGUUGUUCGGAUUUAUUGGGCGUAAAGGGUGCGUAGGCGGCUUCUUACGUAAAGGGUGAAAUACCGAAGCUCAACUUCGGAAUUGCUUUUUAAACGGGGAGGCUUGAGAUAGUUAGGGGCAAGUGGAAUUCCUGGUGUAGAGGUGAAAUUCGUAGAUAUCAGGAGGAACACCUGAGGCGAAGGCAACUUGCUGGGACUUUUCUGACGCUGAGGCACGAAAGCAUAGGUAGCAAACGGGAUUAGAUACCCCGGUAGUCUAUGCCGUAAACGAUGAAUGCCAGUUGUCUGCUUUAAUAGUGGGUGACGCAGUUAACGCGUUGAGCAUUCCGCCUGGGGAGUACGGUCGCAAGGCUAAAACUCAAAGGAAUUGACGGGGACCCGCACAAGCGGUGGAGCAUGUGGUUUAAUUCGACGCAACGCGAAGAACCUUACCUGGAUUUGACAUCCCUUGCAAGGGCUAGAGAUAGUCUGUUCUCUUCGGAGACAAGGUGACAGGUGCUGCAUGGCUGUCGUCAGCUCGUGUCGUGAGAUGUUGGGUUAAGUCCCGCAACGAGCGCAACCCUUAUCCUUAAUUGCCAGCGGAUAAUGCCGGGAACUUUAGGGAGACUGCCAGCGUCAAGCUGGAGGAAGGUGGGGAUGACGUCAAGUCCGCAUGGCCUUUAUGUCCAGGGCUACACACGUGCUACAAUGGGGAAUACAAAGGGUUGCCAAAUCGCGAGAUGGAGCUAAUCCCAUAAAAUUUCUCUCAGUUCGGAUUGCAAUCUGCAACUUGAUUGCAUGAAGCUGGAAUCGCUAGUAAUCGUGGAUCAGCAUGCCACGGUGAAUACGUUCCCGGGUCUUGUACACACCGCCCGUCACACCAUGGGAGUUGAUUUAGGAGGAAGUCGCUGAGCUAACCGUAAGGGGGCAGGCGCCCAAUCUUGAAUCGAUGACUAGGGUGAAGUCGUAACAAGGUAGCCGUAGAAGAAUCUGCGGCUGGAUUACCUCCU
rnacentral:rRNA from 1 species